rnacentral:rRNA from 1 species
UUUAAUUGAAGAGUUUGAUCAUGGCUCAGAUUGAACGCUGGCGGCAGGCUUAACACAUGCAAGUCGAGCGGUAGCACAAGAGAGCUUGCUCUCUGGGUGACGAGCGGCGGACGGGUGAGUAAUGUCUGGGAAACUGCCUGAUGGAGGGGGAUAACUACUGGAAACGGUAGCUAAUACCGCAUAACGUCGCAAGACCAAAGAGGGGGACCUUCGGGCCUCU